UUUCGACUAGAAAGCGUCAAUUCACUUCCUGCGGCUGACUAUUCCAAGAUGAAGUGCUUUUUUGUCCUGACUAUUGCGUGCCUUCUGUGUGUGGCUCUGGAUGCCAGAACCGUCACCAAACGAUGCGUCGCAGUUAAGGGCAGAUGUUCCACAGACAGCGACUGUUGUUCAGCUGACCUGAAGUGUGCCGUGCCGUGGAACGUCAUGACCAACGCUCUUCAUUGCGUUCCAAGAUCCACAGGGGCGAUGCCAUAGGUUCUACAAUGAGUGGGUGUGGCCAUGGCUGUACCGUCCCCAUAGUCUGUAAAAGAGGCCCCCAAAUGAUUAAAAUAAAAAAUAAUUGUGAUAAUUCCUACCCA